rnacentral:rRNA from 1 species
GACGAACGCUGGCGGCGUGCGUAAUACAUGCAAGUAGAACGCACAGUUUAUACCGUAGCUUGCUACACCAUAGACUGUGAGUUGCGAACGGGUGAGUAACGCGUAGGUAACCUGCCUGGUAGCGGGGGAUAACUAUUGGAAACGAUAGCUAAUACCGCAUAAUAUUGAUUAUUGCAUGAUAAUUGAUUGAAAGAUGCUAUUGCAUCACUACCAGAUGGACCUGCGUUGUAUUAGCUAGUAGGUGAGGUAACGGCUCACCUAGGCGACGAUACAUAGCCGACCUGAGAGGGUGAUCGGCCACACUGGGACUGAGACACGGCCCAGACUCCUACGGGAGGCAGCAGUAGGGAAUCUUCGGCAAUGGACGGAAGUCUGACCGAGCAACGCCGCGUGAGUGAAGAAGGUUUUCGGAUCGUAAAGCUCUGUUGUAAGAGAAGAACGAGUGUGAGAGUGGAAAGUUCACACUGUGACGGUAUCUUACCAGAAAGGGACGGCUAACUACGUGCCAGCAGCCGCGGUAAUACGUAGGUCCCGAGCGUUGUCCGGAUUUAUUGGGCGUAAGGCGAGCGCAGGCGGUUAGAUAAGUCUGAAGUUAAAGGCUGUGGCUUAACCAUAGUACGCUUUGGAAACUGUUUAACUUGAGUGCAAGAGGGGAGAGUGGAAUUCCAUGUGUAGCGGUGAAAUGCGUAGAUAUAUGGAGGAACACCGGUGGCGAAAGCGGCUCUCUGGCUUGUAACUGACGCUGAGGCUCGAAAGCGUGGGGAGCAAACAGG